rnacentral:rRNA from 1 species
GAUUAUGGCUCAGGAUGAACGCUAGCGACAGGCUUAACACAUGCAAGUCGAGGGGCAGCAUAAAAGUAGCAAUACUUGGUGGCGACCGGCGCACGGGUGAGUAACGCGUAUGCAACCUACCUAUCAGAGGGGAAUAACCCGGCGAAAGUCGGACUAAUACCGCAUAAAACAGGGGCACCGCAUGGUGAUAUUUGUUAAAGAAAUUCGCUGAUAGAUGGGCAUGCGUUCCAUUAGGUAGUUGGUGAGGUAACGGCUCACCAAGCCGACGAUGGAUAGGGGAACUGAGAGGUUGGUCCCCCACACUGGUACUGAGACACGGACCAGACUCCUACGGGAGGCAGCAGUGAGGAAUAUUGGUCAAUGGGCGGGAGCCUGAACCAGCCAAGUCGCGUGAAGGAAGAAGGAUCUAUGGUUCGUAAACUUCUUUUGCAGGGGAAUAAAGUGCAGGACGUGUCCUGUUUUGUAUGUACCCUGAGAAUAAGGAUCGGCUAACUCCGUGCCAGCCGCAGC